UUGGUCGUAUUUUCCAUCGCCCCUAUCUCAGCCCAAGCGCAGUGGAGGACACCGGGCGCUUCCCUUGUUGUGUUGCACUUAUAGUGUGGUGAGUGAGACUUUGCAAUUAAUAAGCUUUUCACGUUGGAGUGGUGCUGUGUAUUUGCUGUGGGUUGCUGUGUGUCUUGUUAGACGAAGCCCCGCAUCAUCCAUUUCUUCUACUGGGCAGAGGACGGAGAGGCUAACGACCUCAGAAAUUACUGUUACUAUACGUAGUGUGCUGUUUCGGAGUACGAAGGAACGCGGACCAAGAGCUGUCAGUGACUGUGAGUAAAACAUUGGAAAUAUUCGUGGUGUAAACUUACCUGUGUCUGUUUUGUCGCAGAGUCAGAGGCGAAAGGGUCCGCCGCCCCCGCGGUCUCUACAAAGGGGCGCCCCUGUCCAGGAUUUGAUCGGCCUACGGGCAGUGGAGAUAGGGCAGCGCUCGACCCGGUGAGGUGGUGUGUGACCUUCGCCCCUCUGCUGACCUACGGAGGAAACCAUACCUACCCAGAAAGCUGUAAACAGCAGAGCCGCGGCCACCUGUGGAGAGAGAGAAGAACGAGAGUGAAUAAUUGGAGAGCAGACUGUGAACGUGAUACCUACCCAGAGAGCUGUAAGCAGCAGAGCCGGUGAGAAAUACUCGAAGUCCAAGUAACAGUGUCUUUGUGUCUUAGUGGCCGCCUGUGGAGAGAAAGGAAAACGAGAAUGAACAUGAGGAGAAUGGGCCGUGUGAAGAUACAGUGGUGGUGGAGGAGAGCCUAGAGUGGCCAUUAUUUUAAGUUCCCCUUUUCCCCUUCCCUAUUUAAUAUUUUUAAGUAAUUUAAUAAAGGAUAUUUUAAUUUUA